rnacentral:lncRNA from 1 species
GUUUACCGCUGCAUGAGGAAAAAAAAAAAACGAAAACAAAGUUUUAGUUAGAGAUAUUUUUCUUUUUAAUAAAUGACAUACAAAUUUACGUAUAGAUGUACAAUUUAUGUCACAUUCAUUCCGUAUUAUAUAUAAUUCUUAAACCGUAUUAUAUAUAUAUAUAUAUAUGUGUGUAUGGACAAUAUUAGUUUCCGAAACUAUGUGUAUAUGUAUAUCAACC